rnacentral:rRNA from 1 species
AGUGAACGCUGGCGGUAGGCCUAACACAUGCAAGUCGAACGGCAGCACAGUAAGAGCUUGCUCUUACGGGUGGCGAGUGGCGGACGGGUGAGGAAUACAUCGGAAUCUACUUUUUCGUGGGGGAUAACGUAGGGAAACUUACGCUAAUACCGCAUACGACUUACGGGUGAAAGCAGGGGAUCUUCGGACCUUGCGCGAUUGAAUGAGCCGAUGUCGGAUUAGCUAGUUGGCGGGGUAAAGGCCACCAAGGCGACGAUCCGUAGCUGGUCUGAGAGGAUGAUCAGCCACACUGGAACUGAGACACGGUCCAGACUCCUACGGGAGGCAGCAGUGGGGAAUAUUGGACAAUGGGCGCAAGCCUGAUCCAGCCAUACCGCGUGGGUGAAGAAGGCCUUCGGGUUGUAAAGCCCUUUUGUUGGGAAAGAAAAGCAGCAGGUUAAUACCCCGCUGUUCUGACGGUACCCAAAGAAUAAGCACCGGCUAACUUCGUG